CAACUGCUUCCAGCACAUCCCGAGCAAAGAGCGCUUUAUUUUAAUCUGUCUCUUUUCAGAAUAACCCCCUUCAUUGAUACUGAUCACCCAACAUCACAAGACAUCCCCAUCUCUCAGCGUGGACUCCCCCUAUCUGUUUGUUGGUCCAGAUGGCCAUCCAGCUCAACUCUACAGAAAGGAAAUGUCAACCAACGACUUCUCAAAAUCUGGAAGAGUCAGCUACUACAGGCAGGCAAUGGUGCUGUCAAGGGAGGAUGCCAUUAACAAGACUGAUCUAAACUCUUUUCCCCAGGGCCUCAUAGACAUGACUAUGGAGGCUGGAAUGGCCAAGACUUUCCAAAAUGGACCGUGAAGAGAUAAUGCAGAUUCAUGAGCUGAGUACAUCCUAAAGACAAGAGACCUCCAAAUUUUAUUGGCUCAAUGACAAGCUCUAGCACCUCAGCAAUGUGUACUGGUUAGAUGGGAUUCAGAUGAUGUCAGACAUGAGCUGGGGGAGGUUUUGUUCCAGCCUCUCUCAGAAUACGUAAUAUUCCCAGAUACCAUCAGCACUUUUGUAGGUCCCUCCAGUAUUCCUUCCUAUUCCUCCCCGUAUCUCAGUGCUGUUCCAUCUUCCUCAUCUUGCAUCCAGGGAAAGGUCUUUUCUCUUCAAAGCCUUCAUGCCCUCUCAACUGUCUCCAGCUACUUCUCCAACUUCUUUGGUUGUUUUUAUUCUCUUCUGUGCCCCCUCUAUGAGUAGGCAGGAAUAUGCUGCUGCUUUAGAAUUAGGCAAAAACACUACAUAGGAGAGAGGGAAAGAGCAGUAUGUUGUUUGACUUACUCUGAUGGGUUCUUGCACUGGUUUAGAGCAUCAGGGAGUGGAAAUUUUCAGCUACAGACCUGUAAAACCUCAACAAGUAGAAUGAGAGGAAAUGGGAGCUGAGAUCUUUGGCCAGGCAUUGUUACCUUUCCCUGUGAUUUCUACCUUUGUGGAAUGACAGUCUUUCAGAAGGUAUCAUUUCAGACAGACUUAGAUAAGAGGGAAGAAAACCCAAAAUCUCACAAGUUUGGUGAACCCAACAAAAAGCUCAGGUCUUGGGAGUAUUUUAUGAGGCUUUACAGAGGAAAGUAGCAAAAGACAAGUGGUCAUACAGUAAUUUACACAGUGGGUGGGGGAGAAACAUUAGCUUUAUGUAUUUAAAUAUUUAUAAGUUGUUUGCUUUAUGAAGAAGGACUGAGGAAUAAUCCUGCCUUUGUUCUUAAAAAGUGUGAUCAGCAUUUCCUUCCUAAAGAGAGGUGAUAAGCAACUGGGCAUUCUUUCAACAAAGGCUGCAGAACCCCAUUGAAAGCUUAAUGCCUUUAGGAGGGGGUCUCUUCUCCAAGGAAGAGCAGGACAUCAGGUCUUUAAUAUUGAUAAGGAAAAGCGCAUAAAAGGAAUCAUCUAAUAGCAGAGACUUUGAAUAAGGAAUUUCAGAAAACUCCCAGUAAGUCCUUCAGCAAACUCUGGAACAGGUGGUGCGAUCUACAUGGCAGUCUGAGCCAGUGAAAACACAAGUCAUCCAAUAAGCAAGUCACUGCAGCAUGGUUCGAGAAGACAUAAAUAAAACACUCUCCCAGGAAAAAGGGAAACCCCUUCCAAAAUGCCUGUUACAAACAGGGAGGUUUCCUGGGCAGAACCCCAGCAAACUGACAAGGUGAAUGGAGGUUUUCCCACUCGUACAGACUGUCUAAGAAAGCUUCUUGGAGAAAGGACUCUGAGAUUCCAGCUUUCAAAACAGACCAGAAGCAGAACCCAUUUGAGAACCAGCUGUCUAUUUCCCAGGGGCUGUGGCCAAAAUAAUUAUCUCUUAACAGAUUUAAUCAGUAAAGAUUGUAUACACCAUCAUCACAAGGAUUCAGUGGCAGAGGUAAUCACAAUUUGAAGAAAAAAAUAUAUAUAUUUUUAGGAUACAAAUCAGCAUCCUCAAUGCAGCAGUCAAUUAUCAUCGGGCCUGACAUCACAACCAUCUUGCAUGGGGCAACGAAAAGCAUAUACAAAGACCAGGAGUCUAUGUUGGCCACUUUUUGAGACAAAGUCAUUGCAACAAUUCAUCAAAUCACAGCCACCACAGAAGGACCCAAAAUAAAGUACAAAAUGGACAGCAGGAAGAUGUGCAAAGGAAGCCGCAUCUGAAGUGGGGCCAGUGUGGAGGCAACACCUCCCUCUCACAGUGCUGAGCCUUUUCCUUUACAAAACAAGGGCAAAACUGGAACGAAGAAUAUUUGAACCUUGAAAGUGUUAUUGAGACUGACAGACUGAUACAUGGCUUUAGAGCUUUCUAUGGACAAAAGUGGUCACCUUUGUAUUUCAAAAGAGCAUAAGAAGCUGAGUAAAGUGGUAGAAAAGAUGUUGGGUUUUUUUUCCCCCAAAGUGAAAGAUAUUUUUACAUUAAAUAGUGAAGAAUGUUCUCAAUAGAUCCACCUAGUGGAGUUGAGCAAAUUCUGCUUCCAGAAUAAAUACACAGCUUUUAUAACCCCAUGUAAGACAGACUUCUGUGACUGUCUCAUGACAACAAGGGAACAAGGGCUCAGAUAUACUCCAAAAGAACAAGAGUGAAAGGUGCAGUAAGUCUCAGUACAAGCACAAUACAGAAGAGCAGAAGACAACUGUUUCUCCAGAAUUUAGACUUCAACAUUUAAAUUUAUGUGGGAUUGGUAUAGCAGGUCUGCUUCCCCAGCUGUUAUCACGAGGAACUAUGACUGACCAAGAAGAGAAAGUGCUACGAAAAAUAUCCAAAAUAAUAGCUGAACUUUAAAGUGCAUUGGCACUGACCUGGCUCCUGGAGCACAUUCACAUAUAACCUGUUUUCAGGCUGUCAGAGCUCUUCAGGAGCUGUUUAACCCCUCGCAUGAUAGUGGCACAGCCAGCAUGCUGUGCCUGAGCCCCUUGCCUCCCACUCCUGCCCACCCCCAGGGACAAUAUAACAGGUUCCCUUUAAAAACAAUAACAGUCCUAGAUUUCUGCUGCUACUAUGCAAGUCUGAAAAGCCACAAUUUAUGCCCAGUGGGGUGCUGUACCUACAAACAUCAGCUGUCCAGUUCAAGCCGUAGCAACCCACAGGCUUUGCUCCAUCUUCCCUGUCUCCACAGUCUCCAGCACAGCUGCACUCCUCUCUUAUUCUUGGUUUACCCACUUGGCCAUGAGCUCUACCACUGCGCCUGCCCCUCAAGAAGGUUGCUCAGGAUGUCCAGGUACACUAGUGCAGUACCAAAAAAAAUCUACUAAAACCAAUGCCUGAGAGCAUGAAAAAUAUUUUCCUGGAGGGAGGCACUGCUCCACCUGCUCUGUCCCCUGGCUUUGCCCUUAGGGAGGCUCCAGCAGCAUCUCCUCCAUCCUGGGCUCCUGGCAUGGAGAAGGCUGGUGCCAAGAGAGCACGGUGCCCACUCUCUCCUGCUGGCAACACAUGGCGCUGUGGGUUCCCUUGCAGAGUUGCUUUCUGAGGCCGCUAAUAAAGCAGAGAAGACUAACUCACAUCCUCACAGGAGACUGGACACUUGAAAUGUUGAAGGCAAUGUCCCUGGAGAGCUGCAAAGGCUCUGGGCCUGGGACAAAGGACUGUGAUGGCUAUGAUAUGUAUGUGAAAAAUAUACAUCAAUACAGAGUGACACCAGCGCAGAGCAGAAAACCUGAAAACUAGUGGAGAGCUCUCUGUGUAAUGCAAAGCACCUGAAUGAUGUGUGUACACACAAAGAUUUGUUCAGCUCUGCUCAUAUCCAGCCCUCUUGGACAGUUGGAUUUGAUUUGCCAUUUUCUUGCCAAAAUAUUGUUGCUAUACCUCAGCACCUGGCCUUUCUUCAAAGAAAUUUUGUAUGACUCUCCUGUCCUCACCUAAACCAGUCCAGAAUAUGAGUUCAGGAGAGGUUAAAGCGACCCUCUUUAAUAACAAACAUGUUUCUAAUAAUUUAAAGCCUCAAAAAUAAAGACUUGUUGUUCCUUUCAAAA